rnacentral:misc_RNA from 1 species
UAAAAAAAAAAAAAGAUUAUAUAGAAGAGAAUGAUAUUAGGAGAGUACCACCUAAACCCUUAGAAGAUUAAGAAUAAGAAAUUGCAUUGGAGACUAGCUAGAGGUAGAUGAGAAUUAUUGAUGAUGGAUUUAAUUUCUAGUAUUCUUCUUGUUGAAAUAUGAGGAUCUAGUUAUGAAUAGUGUUAAUUGUCUUCAUUAAUUUUAUUAUGAAUUAAAUUGAAAGUUCUUAAAAUUGACAUUAUUUGUAAAUAUUUGUGUGGCAUGUCGUAUUGUCUUGAUUUUUUAAAAAUUGUUGAAUUGUUGUGCUGCGUGUCCGUGCAACAUGGUGCACAGUUUGGUUUGGUUCUAUUCAUAUGAAACCUUUUCUUUUUAAUUUUUUGGGGAGUGGUGGAUGAGUAAACCAAAACUAAAAUAUAAUGGUUUGGUUUCUAAUUUAGUUUG